CCUACGGGAGGCAGCAGUGGGGAAUAUUGGACAAUGGGCGAAAGCCUGAUCCAGCCAUGCCGCGUGUGUGAAGAAGGCCUUCGGGUUGUAAAGCACUUUCAGUGGGGAAGAAAGCCUUGGGGCUAAUACCCUCGAGGAAGGACAGCACCCACAGAAGAAGCACCGGCUAACUCCGUGCCAGCAGCCGCGGUAAUACGGAGGGUGCGAGCGUUAAUCGGAAUUACUGGGCGUAAAGCGCGCGUAGGCGGUCUGAUAAGCCGGUUGUGAAAGCCCCGGGCUCAACCUGGGAACGGCAUCCGGAACUGUCAGGCUAGAGUGCAGGAGAGGAAGGUAGAAUUCCCGGUGUAGCGGUGAAAUGCGUAGAGAUCGGGAGGAAUACCAGUGGCGAAGGCGGCCUUCUGGACUGACACUGACGCUGAGGUGCGAAAGCGUGGGUAGCAAACAGGAUUAGAUACCCCAGUAGUC
rnacentral:rRNA from 1 species